AAUAUUGCGCAAUGGACGGAAGUCUGACGCAGCGACGCCGCGUGAGCGAUGAAGGCCUUCGGGUCGUAAAGCUCUGUCCUUGGGGAAGAAGGCACUCGGACUUGACGGUACCCAAGAAGAGAGCACCUGCUAACUACGGCACAGCAGCCGCGGUAAGACGAAGGGGGGUAGCGUUGUCCGGAAUUACUGGGCGUAAAGGGUGCGUGGGCGGCCCUUAAGUCAGAUGUGAAAGGCCACGGCUUAACCGUGGCAUUGCAUUUGAAACUGGAGGGCUUGAGUGUCGGAGAGGGUAGUGGAAUUCCCAGUGUAGCGGUGAAAUGCGUAGAUAUUGGGGGGAACACCAGUGGCGAAGGCGACUACCUGGACGAUAACUGACGCUGAGGCACGAAAGCUAGGGGAGCAAAC
rnacentral:rRNA from 1 species